rnacentral:misc_RNA from 1 species
GUCGAAGGCGGCGCGGGCGAGCGGGGGCAUGGAGGUGGCGGCAAUGGCGGAGGCACCGUAGAGGGCGCGGGUGAGGCUGUGGACGGUGGUGUUGAGGGAGAUGUGGACGAGGUCGCGGGCGGUGGCGCCCGCUUCGGGGCGGAGGGUGGUGAGGCAGAGGGAGGGGUAGAGGGUUGAGCUGCAAGCUGUAGUGGCGGUGCUCGGGGCUGAAAUGGACUCGGUUGGGAGGAGAGAAAGGGCUGCGACGAGUGCUAGUAGAGAGACUCGGCCGCUG